rnacentral:pre_miRNA from 1 species
UAUAAUGUUUGACUCUUCGUCUUAUUUAAAACUUUUUACGAUUAAUAUUUUUAUUGUUACUAGAUGAUAAAUAGUACUUUAUGAUUGACUAAUUUUCUUACGUUUUUCUUUAAAAAAAUUAAAUAAGACGGAUGAUCAAAUGUUGGAUACAGAAAUCGA